CCGAUUGUGGUAGUAAGAAAGAAAGACAAUAAAGUACGAAUCUGCGGGGAUUAUAAGAUAACAAUCAAUCCUGUAUUAGUAGUUGAUAAACAUCCAUUGCCAACAAUAGACAGUGGCAAAGAUUGAUGGAACAAGUGUUGGCCGACAUUGCUGGUGUUAAAGUGUUUUUGGACGAAAUGAAGGUGACAGCCAGAGAUGACAUUUUUCAUUUGGAGCGGUUGGAAGAAGUACUAAAAAGAUUGGACACGUACAACGUGAAUGUAAAUCUGAUUCCUUUUUGCCCACCCUAUUCACACAUUUACUAAGUGGUAGCCUGCACAACAUAUGAAUGGAUUCCGUGAAAUGUUUCAACGUUUCGAUUUUGCAACAAAACAGUCCUUACAAAAAUUUCCGCGAGAAAAAGAAUAAACUCAUUCGAAAUUAAAGUGGUAUGGCACAAAGAAAAUCAGGCAAAAAGUGAACACCCCCCCCCCAAAAAAAACCUAACCGGAAACAAGUUCUGGCAUUAACAAGUACUCCGAAAACCAGUCAACAGCUGUGGGGAAAAGAAUAGCAAUCAAGACCA